rnacentral:rRNA from 1 species
GCAGUAGCCGCGGGAAUACAGAGGGUGCGAGCGUUAAUCGGAUUUACUGGGCGUAAAGCGUGCGUAGGCGGCUUCUUAAGUCGGAUGUGAAAUCCCUGAGCUUAACUUAGGAAUUGCAUUCGAUACUGGGAAGCUAGAGUAUGGGAGAGGAUGUAGAAUUCCAGGUGUAGCGGUGAAAUGCGUAGAGAUCUGGAGGAAUACCGAUGGCGAAGGCAGCCAUCUGGCCUAAUACUGACGCUGAGGUACGAAAGCAUGGGGAGCAAACAGGAUUAGAUACCCCCGUAGUCCCUGUCUCUUAUACA